rnacentral:SRP_RNA from 1 species
CCGUGAACCUGGUCAGGCCCGGAAGGGAGCAGCCACAGCGGUGGAUCUGUGUGCCGGGGUGUGGCUGGUAGGGC